UAACACAUAGCUGGCACUAAAGGAAAGGACGAGAAGAACCCUGUCACCAGGUCUCUUCUUGCAGCCCCUCCAUUGUUCUCCCACUGGUGCAAUUUGACUGCUGCUCGUAGGAUCAUAUUUUUAGAGCUGGAAGGAAUCUUAAAGGCCACCAAGACCAACUCCCUCAAUUUACAGAGCACCUUUAUUUUCCCCCUCCAGCUGAUGUGGAAGAAGAUCCUGCCUUUAAUUACAUCAUUAGACAAUGCUUGAAAUGCUUGUGCUGUUGAAGUCAGCACUCUGGGAUGAGUGCAUUUCAGUUCAGGGGUCACCCUGGUAGCCAAUGCCACCCAGCUUGGGAGGUGGGCAGAGUUCAAGAAUAGGAAGAUAUGGGUCCUGAAAGUGGGGAGCAAGGUCCCCACUGGGGUCAGGGAAAGGUUAGGAAAAGGGAACCUGGAAAAGAGCAACUUCUCACGCUUUGCAGCCUUGCCUCAGGCUCUGGCUUGCUGUCGGUGAGGGACAGAUAGAAGCUGUGGGCAAAGGUACUGUGUGUCCUUCCUGGCAAUGGACGUGCCUGCCGUGGCAGCACCCACUGUACCCAGUCAGUUCUGCUCUGGGUCUCAGCCAGCCCAGAGCUGUAGUCCUAUUCUUCCUGCCCUUUAACCUCCGGGAAAGCCUUACCUGGGAGAGCCCACAGUGUGUCAGUUUCCAUUAGGUGGCUUCUCUUGGAAUGACCCUCCUCCCCCGCCCAAGGUUCCUGGGCAGUCCCAGCUCCUCACUACCACCUUUCCUCCCUGCUACUUCCCAGUUUGCUGUUCUCCACCUUGCUUAAGAAGCUUCAGGGGAAGGGCAGCUAGGUGGUACAGUGGAUAGGGCACUGGCCCUGAGUGCAAAUCCUGUCUCAGACACUUA